ensembl:lncRNA DHRS4-AS1 DHRS4 antisense RNA 1
CCCAGAACACUGGGGAGACUAGAUCGAUAGGGCUGCACAGAGGUGGCACAGUUGUGCCAGAGGGCCAGACUUUGGCAGCGUGUAAGGUCUGAGGACAGGGGCACCGGAGGCCGAGGAUGAGAGGCCAGUGCCUGUUUCCAGGCAGCCAGGGCCUCAGAAACUCCGGCCGGAGCACUCACCCGUCGGUGGAGGCCGUUACCAGGGCCACCUUAUUUGCGAGCGGGUCCCGGCGGGUCAUCCCGGAGCUGGCCAUCCGCACCGAAUUCCAAGCCCGGGCACAGAGGCCUAGCAGCCCCGCCUUGUGCAUGGAUCAGACCAGCAAAAUUCCUUCUCCAAGAAAGUCUGGGUCUAUGUGUGUGACAGCCCACAGGAGGGCAAAUGUUUUGAGACUGCCCAUGGAGGUGAGGCCUGUGGUCGCCAUGGAGUCCACCAGGUGCCACUUCGGAUAAACCCUUUGGACUCCUAACUCCAAUCAGGUGUCUGCUUUGUUGAGGACUCACAGACACAGUCUCCUUUCUUCAAGAUCUUUACAAUGCAAGACCUCACUAACACACAGGGAUGGUCUCCCAGAGGGUCUGUGCUGUUCCUUCACUCAGAACAUCAAGAUGCACUGAAGUAAGGAUCCUCUAUUCUACAGUUCCUGCUAGCUGAGCUAUUCCAUGGGGGCUUCAGCAGGAAAUUCCAAGGUUGGCUUUGACAAGCUAAGGCCGGCUGGUGGAGCACAUCGAGUUCUGGAGGUUCAUGUGUGUUUUCAUGAAGAUCUGUCUGCCCGUAGCAGAUAAAGAGUUGUUGCCCCACUCCUCCUGGGGUCUUCUAUUUUCCUGGGAGGAAUUUCUGGAUUAACUGAACACACACACACACACACACACCCUUUUGAAGCAUCAACAGUAAUUCUGAGUUCUUAGGGACAAUGCAGAUUAAAUCCACAAUAAGAAAGACAACUAUGGCCAGGUGUGGUGGCUCACGCCUGUAAUCCCAGAACUUUGGGAGGCUGAGGCGGAUGGAUCACCUGAGGUCAGGAGUUAGAGACCAACCUGACCAACAUGGAGAAACCCCGUUUCUACUAAAAAUGCAAAAUUAGCCGGGCAUGGUGGCAGGCGCCUGUAAUCCCAAAUACUCGGGAGGCUGAGGCAGGAGAAUCACUUAAACCCGGGAGGCAGAGGUUGCAGUGAGCCAAGAUCGCGCCAUUGCACUCCAGCCUGGGCAAGAAGAGCAAAACUCCAUCUCAAAAAAAAAAAAAGAGUACUAUUGAUCCAGAGGUGACCAGACUAGCCUCACUGGAGAUAAUAGGUGACAUUAUUAUGCAAAGUGGUUUCAGUUCCCUUGUCUUGUUUUUGGAAUAGUAUAAGAGGCCUACAAUACGAAUAAAUAAGGCCCAUCACAAGCCUCACCAAAGGACAAAACUAAUCCACUUCUGAAGAAGGCUCUUUGUUGGGCCAGAUCAAAUCCUUGGACAGAACUGUACUCUUAAUCUCUGUAGUGAAAGUGGGGGGUAGUUUAAGAAUUUAUUAACCUUCUACCUUGAGCAAUCCCUCAGAAGUAAGAGGUGUCAGGCCUCUGAGCCGAAGCUCAGCCAUUGUAACCCCUGUGACCUGCACAUAUAUGUCCAGAUGGCCUGCAGGAGCCAAGAAGUCUGGGGCAGCUGAAAAACCACACAAGAAGUAAAACAGCCAGUUCCUGCCUUAACUGAUUAACCAACAUUACAACAUUCCACCAUUGUGACCUGUCCCUGUCCUACCUUAACUGAUCAAUCGACCUUGUGACAGUCUUCUUCUGGACAAUGGGUCUUAUCAUCUCCCCACCAUGUACCUUGUGACCCCCUCCUCUGCUAACAAUAGAUAACCACUUUUUACUGUAAUUUUCCAUUACCUACCCAACUCCUAUAAAGCAACCCCUUCCCCAUCUCCCUUCACUGACUCUGUUUUCAGACUCAGCCCACUUGCACUCAAGUGAAUAAACAGCCUUGUUGCUCACACAAAGCCUGUUGGUGGUCUCUUCACACAGAUGUGCUUGACAAAAGGGAAGGGUGGAUUUGUCCUUCUGGUUACAUAUGUUCUGCUCACUCAUUUUGAAUUUAAUUAAACAAGGAUUGCCCUUACCUUUUCAUACUUUGUAAGAAACCAUAAAUACUUAUGCACCAUGAUUUUUUUAAAGAAACACUUUUUAUUUUGAAGUAAUUAUAGUCUCAUAGGAAGUUGCAAAAGUAGUACAUAGAGUCCCUGAGUACUCUUCCCCCAGUGGUGACAACUGUAGUAUAAUAUCAAUUCUGGGAAAUUGACAUUGGUACAAUACCAAAUAUACUAUGCCUUUUUCUCUAAGGCAUGAUGUUGCAGUAGCAUCCUUGUACAUGUAGCUAGGAGAACUUGUACUAAGCCCAGAUAAAUAGUUGAAGUACAAGGGCAAGGAGUGUGUCUUUGAUAUUUUAAUAGAAAUCACCUAUUGCCCUCUAGAAAAGCUGUACCCUUUUCCAGUGGCAGAGAACCUUCCUGAAAGGCAGUCCUGUGUAAUGGUGUCCAUUUCAUCACACCCUUAAAACACUCAGCUUUAACAAACAUGCAGAUUUUUGCUGAUGUGGGAGAAAAUAUUAAUUAUUAAUGAUAUUAAGGUGAUUAUCUUUUCGUAUGUUUAUAGAUAUUUGUAUUUCUUUUUAAAUGAACUGCUCAUGACCUUUGUCUACUUUUAUUUGGGUUUACUUCUUUCUCAUUUAUUCCUAUAAACUCUUUAUAAAAGGAAAUUAACCAUUUGAUUGUCAUAUGUUGUGAAUAUUUUUACCAUUUUGACUUUUGAAUUUAUGUCUUUUUAAUGAAUUGUAGAAGUUUAAAAUCUUUAU